UAUGUCAUUACACCUUCUAAAAAUAUUUUGUCUAUAAUGUCCAUUUUUAUUGAAUAAUCCAUUGAAUUACUACAUCCUAACACUUUUUUAAUAUCUUCUUCCUAAAAGUGAAUCAAAUGUAUUUUUUCUAACUCGAUAAUUAAUUACAUUAGAAAUAGAGGUAUAAAAUAAUAUAAGUUCACAUACAGAGAGGAUCUAAAUUAUGGAAUAAAUUCAUUUUCUCUAAAAUGGACGACUUUAGAGAAAAAUCCCGAAAUAGGUCGAUUUUUAUUUUCAAAUUACAAUUUUUUGCCAUCUAUUUCAUACUAGUGACGUCAUCCAUCUGAGCGUGGUGACGUAAUCGAUGAUUUUUUUAAAUGGGAAUAGGGGUUAACCCCUAAUAAUAGGUUAACAUGUAAUUGUAAUUUAGAAAAUCUAAAAACAAUAAACACAAACACACGCUUUUUGUUUCCAGAUCAGUUUAUCAAAGAUCUAGAGAAACAUGUAAAAGGUGAGUAUUUUUUUUUUGACUUUUGUAAGUGAAUAACAAAUAAAUGCUUCAAACAAAUAAAAACAUUUUUGUUUUGCAGAUGAAUUUGCCAAAUAGGAAUUUGGCAAAAAUCCUUUUGGAAGUUCACUCCAUGAAUACUGGCACUGUUGGGGGACACUACCAUUGAUUUGAAUGGAGAUGACGAGUUUCAGGAAAUUGUGUCACAAUUUCCUAUCACUAAUGUGGAUAUCCUCAAUGAUGUUAAUGAGUGGGGAGGGACCAGCAGUGUUAUAAAAAAGUAGUCCUAUUUUUGAAAACCAUUGGAGGGAUAACCCUGAAGGAUAUUAAAAAGGGUGUUCGCCAAUCAAUUAAUUGCCCAAGCCAGCUGGCUGGGGCACAGUUGUGGCGGAAAAAAAAUUGCAAGCUUAGCAACUUAAAAUUGAUUUCUGCCAUUAAAGAUGCUGUACAUACUGAUGAAUGGUAUUCUGAGAAAAAAUUUGAAACUAUUGCAGCGGAUUGGACCCGUCAAGGAAAACAGCGCCACCAAAGGGAGAGGCAGAAUAAAUAAAUGACUUAAUUUUUC